rnacentral:misc_RNA from 1 species
GGCGAACGUGUGCACGACGCUUCCGGACGUGAUGCCGAGGACCGACAGGAUUCCCGCGCGCCGCCCCUGCGCGAUGCUCCGGCCGAGGAUGUAGAAGGUGUCCUGCCCCGGCGUGAGGUUCAGCAGGAUGCCGCUGAUCACGAACAGGGCGAGAUUCUGGGUCCCGAACACCGAGUGAUCUUACCCGACGAUCAACACCACCGCCACGAGCGCGCAGGCGAUUCCGGCGCCCUGCCAGGCGUUGAGCCGCUCGCCGAGUACCACGCGGGCCAGGAUGACGGUGCUCGCGGGAUACAGCGACGACAAGGUGACGACGACGCUGAGCGGACCGGAGCGCGUGGCCACCAGAUAGAGCGCGUUGGCGA